AGAGUUUGAUCAUGGCUCAGGACGAACGCUGGCGGCGUGCUUAACACAUGCAAGUCGAACGAGGUCCAACCAGUCGCAAGACUGGGGAAGACCUAGUGGCGAACGGGUGAGUAACACGUGAGCAACCUGCCCCGAAGACUGGGAUAACACCGGGAAACCGGUGCUAAUACCGGAUACCCCCACCAAAUCGCAUGGUUCGGUGAGGAAAUGGAUUCCGCUUCGGGAGGGGCUCGCGGGCUAUCAGCUUGUUGGUGGGGUAACGGCCCACCAAGGCUUCGACGGCUAGCUGGUCUGAGAGGACGAUCAGCCACACUGGGACUGAGACACGGCCCAGACUCCUACGGGAGGCAGCAGUGGGGAAUCUUGCCCAAUGGGCGAAAGCCUGAGGCAGCAACGCCGCGUGCGGGAUGACGGCCUUCGGGUUGUAAACCGCUUUCAGCAGGGACGAAAUUGACGGUACCUGCAGAAGAAGCUCCGGCCAACUACGUGCCAGCAGCCGCGGUAAUACGUAGGGAGCGAGCGUUGUCCGGAUUUAUUGGGCGUAAAGAGCGCGUAGGCGGCUCAGUAAGUCGGGUGUGAAAACUCCAAGCUCAACUUGGAGCGGCCACUCGAUACUGCUGUGGCUUGAGUCUGGUAGGGGAUCACGGAAUUCCUGGUGUAGCGGUGAAAUGCUUAGAUAUCAGGAGGAACACCGGUGGCGAAGGCGGUGAUCUGGGCCAGUACUGACGCUGAGGCGCGAAAGCGUGGGGAGCGAACAGGAUUAGAUACCCUGGUAGUCC
rnacentral:rRNA from 1 species